UACGUAGGGGGCAAGCGUUGUCCGGAAUCAUUGGGCGUAAAGCGCGUGUAGGCGGCCCGAUAAGUCCGCUGUGAAAGUCCAGGGCUCAACCCUGGAAUGCCGGUGGAUACUGUCGGGCUCGAGUCCGGAAGAGGCGAGUGGAAUUCCUGGUGUAGCGGUGAAAUGCGCAGAUAUCAGGAGGAACACCAAUUGCGAAGGCAGCUCGCUGGGACGUAACUGACGCUGAGACGCGAAAGCGUGGGGAGCAAACAGG
rnacentral:rRNA from 1 species